rnacentral:rRNA from 1 species
GAUUAUGGCUCAGAACGAACGCUGGCGGCGCGUCUUAAGCAUGCAAGUCGAACGGCAAGAGGUAGCAAUACCUCCUAGAGUGGCGGACUGGUGAGUAACACGUGGGUGACAUACCCUUCAGAUGGGGAUAGCUAUUAGAAAUAGUAGAUAAUACCGAAUACGAGCACAGGGGUUAGAGAUCUGUGAGGAAAGGAGCUAAGGCUCCGCUGAAGGAAUGGCCUGCGGCCCAUUAGCUAGUUGGUGAGGUAAGAGCCCACCAAGGCGAUGAUGGGUAUCCGGCCUUAGAGGGUGAACGGACACAUUGGGACUGAGAUACGGCCCAGACUCCUACGGGAGGCAGCAGCUAAGAAUAUUCCGCAAUGGACGAAAGUCUGACGGAGCGACGCCGCGUGGAUGAAGAAGGCCGGAAGGUUGUAAAAUCCUUUUGAAACUGAAGAAUAAGCGUUGUAGGGAAUGACAGCGUGGUGACAGUUAGGUUUGAAUAAGCAACGGCUAAUUACGUGCCAGCCGCCGC